UUGGACAUGGGGGAAACCCUGNUCCAGCCAUGCCGCGUGAGUGAUGAAGGCCUUCGGGUUGUAAAACUCUUUCGGCGGGGACGAUAAUGACGGUACCCGCAGAAGAAGCUCCGGCUAACUUCGUGCCAGCAGCCGCGGUAAUACGAAGGGGGCUAGCGUUGUUCGGAAUUACNUGGGCGUAAAGCNCNGCGCAGGCNGGUCUUUCAAGUCAGUGGUGAAAGCCCGGAGCUCAACUCCGGAAUUGCCAUUGAAACUGUAAGACUUGAGGAUGAGAGAGGUGAGUGGAAUUCCCAGUGUAGAGGUGAAAUUCGUAGAUAUUGGGAAGAACACCGGUGGCGAAGGCGGCUCACUGGCUCAUUUCUGACGCUCAGGCGCGACAGCGUGGGGAUCAAACAGGAUUAGAUACCCUGGUAGUCCACGCCGUAAACGAUGAAUGCUAGCCGUUGGGCAGCUUUGCUGUUCAGUGGCGCAGCUAACGCAUUAAGCAUUCCGCCUGGGGAGUACGGCCGCAAGGUUGAAACUCAAAAGAAUUGACGGA
rnacentral:rRNA from 1 species